rnacentral:rRNA from 1 species
GGAUAACCUGCCCUUAGGUCUGGCAUAACCCCGGGAAACUGGGGAUAAUUCCGGAUAGAUCAUAGAUGCUGGAAUGCGCUUUGAUCCAAAGCUAUUGUGCCUAAGGAUGGGUCUGCGGUCUAUCAGGUUGUAGUGGGUGUAAUGUACCUACUAGCCUACGACGGAUACGGGUUGCGGGAGCAAGAGCCCGGAGAUGGAUUCUGAGACAUGAAUCCAGGCCCUACGGGGCGCAGCAAGCGCGAAAACUUUACAAUGCGGGAAACCGCGAUAAGGGGACACCGAGUGCCAGCAUCCUAUGUUGGCUGUCCAUAUGUCUAAAUCACAUGUGUUAGCAAGGGCCGGGCAAGACCGGUGCCAGCCGCCGCGGUAACACCGGCGGCCCGAGUGGUGGCCACUAUUAUUGGGUCUAAAGGGUCCGUAGCCGGUUUGGUCAGUCUUCCGGGAAAUCUGACGGCUCAACCGUUAGGCUUUCGGGGGAUACUACCAGGCUUGGGACCGGGAGAGGUAAGAGGUACUACGGGGGCAGGAGUGAAAUCUUGUAAUCCCUGUGGGACCACCAGUGGCGAAGGCGUCUUACCAGAACGGGUCCGACGGUGAGGGACGAAAGCUGGGGGCACGAACCGGAUUAGAUACCCGGGUAGUCCCAGCUGUAAACUAUGCUCGCUAGGUGUCAGGGACGGUGCGACCGUUUCUGGUGCCGCAGGGAAGCCGUGAAGCGAGCCACCUGGGAAGUACGGUCGCAAGGCUGAAACUUAA